AAGUUUGAUCCUGGCUCAGGAUGAACGCUGGCGGCGUGCCUAACACAUGCAAGUCGAGCGAAAGCUCCUGAUAGAUUCUUCGGAUGAUAGAUGGAGCGGAAAGCGGCGGACGGGUGAGUAAGCGUAGGCAACCUGCCCUUUGCAGAGGGAUAGCCUCGGGAAACCGGGAUUAAAACCUCAUAUGCGACUGAAAGACAUCUUCCGGUCGCCAAAGAUUUAUCGGCAAAGGAUGGGCCUGCGUUGAUUAGCUAGUUGGUGAGGUAACGGCUCACCAAGGCGACGAUCAGUAGCCGACCUGAGAGGUGAUCGGCCACAUUGGAACUGAGACACGGUCCAAACUCCUACGGGAGGCAGCAGUGGGAAUAUUGCACAAUGGGGGAAACCCUGAUGCAGCAACGCCGCGUGAACGAUGAAGGUCUUCGAUCGUAAAGUUCUGUCCUUGGGGAAGAAUACAUGACGGUACCCUUGGAGGAAGCCCCGGUAACUACGUGCCAGCAGCCGCGGUAAUACGUAGGGGGCGAGCGUUAUCCGGAAUUAUUGGCGUAAAGAGUACGUAGGCGGUUCUUUAAGCGCAGGGUUUAAGGCAGUGGCUCAACCACUGUCGCCCUGUGAACUGGAGGACUUGAGUAUCGGAGAGGAAAGCGGAAUUCCUAGUGUAGCGUGAAAUGCGUAGAUAUUAGGAGGAACACCAGUGGCGAAGGCGGCUUUCUGGACGAAUACUACGCUGAGGUACGAAAGCGUGGGGAGCAAACAGGAUUAGAUACCCUGGUAGUCCACGCCGAAACGAUGAGCACUUGGUGUCGGGGUCGCAAGACUUCGGUGCCGCAGUUAACGCAUUAAGGCUCCGCCUGGGGAGU
rnacentral:rRNA from 1 species